rnacentral:rRNA from 1 species
GGUGAACGCUGGCGGUAGGCCUAACACAUGCAAGUCGAACGGCAGCACAGUAAGAGCUUGCUCUUACGGGUGGCGAGUGGCGGAAGGGAGAGGAAUACAUCGGAAUCUACUUUUUCGUGGGGGAUAACGUAGGGAAACUUAAGCUAAUACCGCAUACGACCUACGGGUGAAAGCAGGGGAUCGUCGGACCUUGCGCGAUUGAAUGAGCCGAUGUCGGAUUAGCUAGUUGGCGGGGUAAAGGCCCACCAAGGGGACGAUACAUAGCUGGUCUGAGAGGAGGGUCCCCGCCACGGGAGCUGAGCCGCGACCUGGGCUCUUAGGUGGGGCCGCGGUGGGUACUGUUGGCAACUGGGCGCAAGCCUGCUCCAGCCGUGCCGCCUGGAUGAAGAAGCCCUUCGGGUGGUAAAGCCCUUUUGUUGGGAAAGAAAAGCUUCGGGUUAAUCCCCCGCUGUUUGGCCGGUACCCAAAGAAUAAGCCCCGGUAACCUCCGU